rnacentral:rRNA from 1 species
CCUACGGGUGGCAGCAGUGGGGAAUAUUGGACAAUGGGCGCAACCCUGAUGCAGCGAUGCCGCGUGCGUGAAGACGUCUCUCGUUAUGUAAAGCUCUAUUAGUAGGGAAGAAAACGACGGUACGCGUGUAUGACUCCACGGCUCACUACUUGCCAGCAGCCGCGGUAAUACGUAGGGGGCCAUGGUUAUCCGGAUUUACUGGGUGUAAAGGGAGCGUAGGCGGUUGGACAAGUAAGGGGUGAAUUGCCGCGGCUUAACUGCGGAACUGCUUUUGAUACUGGCGAGCUAGAGAGCGGUAGAGGUAGGCGGAAUGCAUGGUGUAGCGGUGAAAUGCGUAGAGAUUAGGCAGAACACCGAUGGCGAAGGCAGCUUACUGGGCCACAACUGACGUUGAGGCACGAAAGCGUGGGGAGCAAACAGGAUUAGAUACCCUUGUAGUC